rnacentral:rRNA from 1 species
UCGGGUUGUAAAGCACUUUUGUCCGGAAAGAAAACUUCUGCAUUAAUACUGCGGGAGGAUGACGGUACCGGAAGAAUAAGCACCGGCUAACUACGUGCCAGCAGCGCGGUAAUCGUAGGGUGCGAGCGUUAAUCGGAAUUACUGGGCGUAAAGCGUGCGCAGGCGGUUCGUUAAGACAGAUGUGAAAUCCCCGGGCUUAACCUGGGAACUGCAUUUGUGACUGGCGAGCUAGAGUAUGGCAGAGGGGGGUAGAAUUCCACGUGUAGCAGUGAAAUGCGUAGAGAUGUGGAGGAAUACCGAUGGCGAAGGCAGCCCCCUGGGCCAAUACUGACGCUCAUGCACGAAAGCGUGGGGAGCAAACAGGAUUAGAUACCCUGGUAGUCCACGCCCUAAACGAUGUCAACUAGUUGUUGGGGAUUCAUUUCCUUAGUAACGUAGCUAACGCGUGAAGUUGACCGCCUGGGGAGUACGGUCGCAAGAUUAAAACUCAAAGGAAUUGACGGGGACCCGCACAAGCGGUGGAUGAUGUGGAUUAAUUCGAUGCAACGCCAAAAACCUUACCUACCCUUGACAUGGUCGGAACCCUGCUG